AGUGGGGAAUAUUGGACAAUGGGCGCAAGCCUGAUCCAGCCAUGCCGCGUGAGUGAUGAAGGCCCUAGGGUUGUAAAGCUCUUUCAACGGUGAAGAUAAUGACGGUAACCGUAGAAGAAGCCCCGGCUAACUUCGUGCCAGCAGCCGCGGUAAUACGAAGGGGGCUAGCGUUGUUCGGAAUUACUGGGCGUAAAGCGCACGUAGGCGGAUUGUUAAGUUAGGGGUGAAAUCCCAGGGCUCAACCCUGGAACUGCCUUUAAUACUGGCAAUCUCGAGUCCGAGAGAGGUGAGUGGAAUUCCGAGUGUAGAGGUGAAAUUCGUAGAUAUUCGGAGGAACACCAGUGGCGAAGGCGGCUCACUGGCUCGGUACUGACGCUGAGGUGCGAAAGCGUGGGGAGCAAA
rnacentral:rRNA from 1 species